GAUGAACGCUAGCUACAGGCUUAACACAUGCAAGUCGAGGGGAAACGACAUCGAAAGCUUGCUUUUGAUGGGCGUCGACCGGCGCACGGGUGAGUAACGCGUAUCCAACCUGCCCAUCACUUGGGAAUAACCUUGCGAAAGUAAGACUAAUACCCAAUGAUAUCCCACGAAGGCAUCGGAAUGGGAUUAAAGAUUUAUCGGUGAUGGAUGGGGAUGCGUCUGAUUAGCUUGUUGGCGGGGUAACGGCCCACCAAGGCAACGAUCAGUAGGGGUUCUGAGAGGAAGGUCCCCCACAUUGGAACUGAGACACGGUCCAAACUCCUACGGGAGGCAGCAGUGAGGAAUAUUGGUCAAUGGGCGAGAGCCUGAACCAGCCAAGUAGCGUGCAGGAGACGGCCCUAUGGGUUGUAAACUGCUUUUAUAAGGGAAUAAAGUGGGUCACGUGUGACUUUUUGCAUGUACCUUAUGAAUAAGGACCGGCUAAUUCCGUG
rnacentral:rRNA from 1 species